rnacentral:rRNA from 1 species
GAUGAACGCUGGCGGCGUGCUUAACACAUGCAAGUCGAACGGAAAGGCUCCUGCUUGCAGGGGUACUCGAGUGGCGAACGGGUGAGUAACACGUGGGUGAUCUGCCCUGCACUUCGGGAUAAGCCUGGGAAACUGGGUCUAAUACCGGAUAGGACGAUGGUUUGGAUGCCAUUGUGGAAAGUUUUUUCGGUGUGGGAUGAGCUCGCGGCCUAUCAGCUUGUUGGUGGGGUAAUGGCCUACCAAGGCGUCGACGGGUAGCCGGCCUGAGAGGGUGUACGGCGACAUUGGGACUGAGAAGCGGCCCAGACUCCUACGGAAGGCAGCAGUGGGGAAUAUUGCACAAUGGGCGCAAGCCUUAUGCAGCGACGCCGCGUGGGGGAUGACGGCCUUCGGGUUGUAAACUCCUUUCGCUAGGGACGAAGCGCAAGUGACGGUACCUGGAGAAGAAGCACCGGCUAACUACGUG